rnacentral:rRNA from 1 species
AUGAACGUUGGCGGCGUGGAUUAGGCAUGCAAGUCGAGCGUGUACCCCGCAAGGGGGAAAGCGGCGUAAGGGAGAGUAACGCGUGGAUUAUCUGCCCUCGGGUCCGGGAUAGCCGCGGGAAACUGCGGGUAAUACCGGAUGAUGUCUUCGGAUCAAAGGUGUGAUUCCGCCCGAGGAUGAGUCCGCGUCCUAUUAGCUAGUUGGUAAGGUAACGGCUUACCAAGGCCAUGAUGGGUACUGGGUGUGAGAGCACGACCCAGCUCACUGGGACUGAGACACUGCCCAGACACCUACGGGUGGCUGCAGUCGAGGAUCUUCGGCAAUGGGCGCAAGCCUGACCGAGCGACGCCGCGUGUGGGAUGAAGGCCUUCGGGUUGU